rnacentral:lncRNA from 7 species
GCCACCCAUCUCCAACUAGCCUCCGUGCAUGCCGUGCCUGGCCGCCAUCCACUCCAACAAACAUCCAUGCAUGCCUCCCCUCUCAGCCAUAAGAAGGUCCACUCCGGCACCAAGAUUGUGUUCCACACCCCCGCAUGGCUCGGACGCGCCUUCCCCAACGUCGCCUUCUAGCCUAAGCCAGUGGGCAAGGGGGACCGCAAGGAGGUGUAGGUGGGCAUGGCCGUAGACGCCACCAACUGAUCAACUUAGCUUUCGGCGCCAGCGGCCGAGCGUGGGCUGUCGAUCUAGCCACGUCGUCACGAGAUCCGAUAAUUUAUGACUAUUUUCUCAAGCUCUGCAAGUUUCUGGAUGAUUUCAGGGCUGUUUUUCCUUUAUGGAUUCU